CACACACACACACCUUCAGUGUCUGCACAUAUCAGAAUCUCCUCCGCCUACUUACGUUCUUUUGCUCUCUUUAUUCUUCAUGCGUUCUCACCUUCGUGUGGCUGAGAAUCAUAGCGUUUCAGCUCUCAUACCUGCUGUGUCAUACGCUUAUUUUUACAGGCUGCGGUUAUUACUGGGUGUUUGUUUAAAAAUGCGCUUAUGGAGUUAGAACCUCAGUGACACAACCCUCCGGGUUCCGGCCCGUUUUCAGCCUGCUUACGAUCCAAAGCCUGCUCUUAUCGGUGAUACCAACAGAAACGGGUCUCACUUCUGCAUUUACAACACAUUUUAAAAAACAACCUGGCCUGCUUGUCGGGUCCAUUUAAAAAUCGAGUUUGGGACAAGCAUCUGGCAGGUCAGAGUGAAAUAGAACUAGCAGUUCCUUUUUGUGUACAACCCGUCUGUACAACCAUGUUUUCCUAUUUGUGAACGCAAGAUGGAUAGAUGGAUAUUUUGCUGCCAGUGUUGAACCACACACAUCUUUUAGAAUGCAGACAAAGAAAAGAAAAAAAAAAAAAACUUUGUACGAUCGAGAUUGCGGCUUGAUUAUCGGUUGACUUGUGAAAGUAAUUAUUGCUACUAAAAAUCAUGUAGAAAUGUAAGGAAGAGCAAUGCAAGCAGUCUUCCCGCCAAAUCAUUCAAAUGAACAACUGCUGCGGUUUGGCCUUUGACCUUCCGGAACCGUCUCCCGUUGCCCGGGAGAUGAGAACCGUUCUGGAACCAUCUCCCGUUGCCCGGGAGAUGAGAACCGUUCUGGAACAUUCUGCCGCUCCCCAAGUUUUUUGUCUCUCUGUGGUUCUGCUGUGUAGAUGCAUUUGUGUGUGCGUGUGUACAUACAGUAUGUGCCUGCAUAUACGUGUGCGUGUGUGUGUGUGUACAUACAGUACAUGCCUGCAUAUACGUGUGCGUGUGUGUGUGUGUGUACAUACAGUACGUGCCUGCAUAUACGUGUGCGUGUGUGUGUGUGUGUACAUACAGUACGUGCCUGCAUAUACGUGUGCGUGUGUGUGUGUGUGUACAUACAGUACGUGCCUGCAUAUACGUGUGCGUGUGUGUGUGUGUACAUACAGUACGUGCCUGCAUAUACGUGCGAUCGUGUGUGUGUGUGUACAUACAGUACGUGCCUGCAUAUACGUGUGUCCAAACACAAACACGCGAAUCACGCUCAUACGUCAUGUUUUUGGUUUGUUCUCCGUCAGCUGGUUAAACCGUGUGAAUGUAAAGUUUUUUUUUUUUUUUAAGUGUUAAAAGCAAAUUUUAAACUGCAGAAAUAGAAUGAUGGAGAACCACGGCUGCGUGCAGACCUGGGGGGGGCGGCGGCGGGGGGGCCGGGGGGGGAGGGGAGAAAUAUUACGGGAUGCAUUUCCCAUUCGCACGCAAAGCAUGCUCUUCCGCGAUUGGCUGAGCCUUUUUUCUCUGGGUUUUCUGCCCCAAUCAGAGGAGAGCAUUUUGAGCGUGCGCUAGUCGUCAGGCUGCUUCGGUCUCAGGUUUAGUUUCCUUUUCUUAGUAAGAGAUGCAUGAUGAAAAUAUUUAAGACUUUGGUGAAGGGAGGAACAUAUAUAUAUAUAUAUAAAUGUAUAAUAUAUAUUUUCCAUAGUUUGGUUGUGGGAAAGACUGCAUUCCUAUGUUGACAAUGGGGGCUUUUGCGGGGUUUUUUUUGUUUCUUUUGUUUUGUUUUUUUUCUCGCUGCUUUUUUUUGUUGUGGAUUUAUUUCUUAACAGUUUUAAGUGGAGGUGGUUUGUACUAAAGCAAAAAAAAAAAAAAUCAAAAAACAAACUGUUAAAAGCUCAUCUCCUUUAUUAUUAUUUUUUAAAGAGUCAUUAUUGUCAAUAAACGUCACGUUACAUAAAGACAAA